rnacentral:rRNA from 1 species
UACGAAGGGGGCUAGCGUUGUUCGGAAUUACUGGGCGUAAAGCGUGCGUAGGCGGGUGCUCAAGUCCGGGGUGAAAUCCUCCAGCUCAACUGGAGAACUGCCUCGGAUACUGGGUGCCUCGAGUGUGGUAGGGGUGUGCGGAACUAUCGGUGGAGCGGUGAAAUGCGUUGAUAUCGAUAGGAACUCCGGUGGCGAAGGCGGCACACUGGACCACAACUGACGCUGAGGCGCGAAAGCCAGGGGAGCAAACGGG